CAGCUGUGUAUGUGCUAAUAUAUUUAUAACAUAAACAGUCCCCAAUCUGUUUAUGAUACAGAUAUCCCCUGAAAUGUGCACACUGUUUAUUGUACAAAUACCCCCACUCUCUGUAUAAUACAGAGAGACCCUCUGCUCUGUGCAUUCUAAAGGGAAUCUCAUUGCUCUAGUUGUAUAAAACAUAUAUACCCACUACUAUGUGUACAACACAGAUACACCAUCUGCCUUCUGCAUGAUAAAUAUAUGAAUUCUCUGUGGAUCAUAUGCCACCUACGCAAUUGUGUACAGUACAUUGGUCAGUGGUUUAGGGUUCUGUGAUACAGGGGAUGUAGUUUAAAUUUCUGUGAUACAGGG